rnacentral:lncRNA from 1 species
AGUAAAAAUGCAGCCCUGUGAGUACCUUGGUUACCAAGGAGACCACUUCAAACGGAGCUGUGUUCUGCUGGGUGUGCUCAUUUGUCUCAGCAGUUAGAGGAAACUCUGACCAAAACUUGACUCGGUUUCUGAGUCUGUUCUGACUAGCCUGGUCAGGAGCUCCCCUCUCUGUCCUUGGCCAAUUCACUUGGAGCAAAAAUCCUGUCCAGGUGGCAGUGGCUUGGGCAAGGGGAGCCAUUUUCUCUAGCAGUGUGAUGCUGGUGAGCUACCUGUGGCCAGCAAACAACUGUCACUAAACUUGGUCACAAAACAAAAAGGACAUGAAGGUACCAGCAGGAUGUCUUGGAAAGAAGAAAAGGGGAAGGAGACAAAAAUAGGACUUUCUCUCAUAGUAAAAAUAUACAACACAACCUCUGCUCUUUCGUUGUGCUUGGCUUCGCUUCGGAGCACACGCCCAGGCUCAGUGGGUGAGAUUGCAGAUAGGUAACAAAUGCCUACGAAAUGAACUAGAAGGAAAUCCAGCCAAUGCCUUUCCGUCUCGGGACAGUGUUUAUGUUUAUAAAUAUCUUCAAGGUAUAUGGGGUUGUCCCCACCAUCACUCAGGGGGGCUCUCCUGAACCUGACAUUCAUCUCUUGGGCCAGGCUGGCUGGCUGAUCAAUGAGCUCCAGGAACCUGCCUGCCUCCACUCCCCCAGUGCUGCGGUUACAGGGACUUGCAUUUUAACCGGGUCAGGAUGAAGACACCUAACAGAUGAACCUUCAAUCUGGGGUUUCAGGUGAGGAAACAUGAAGGAAAGUGUGCAUGCUUUGGGAUCCACACAACUGACUGGAACACCAUCGCAUGAAAGGCUACAUAGUAGAGAUGAUCUCUACGGCCCAGGGGACCUGUCCUUUGGGCUGCUCCCAGAGCAAUGGUAACACAAGAUUCCAGGAAUCCAUCCUCAAAUCUAGAAACUCAAUCCAAUGACACACACCUGCAGUGAUGACCAGUCCCUUCACUGAGUAAGCAGAGGGCACAUAGACAGCUAUGGGUGGAAGAUGAAACCAUCGCAACCGCAUAGACAACGGUGUCAACACUGGAACCAAUGCCGGGCCAAGCAGGGACCUGGCCUAAUUCUCCAGCCAAGUGGAAGCAUUGUGCAAAUCUGCAACCGCCUCUGCAUCAUGACUGUCUAAUCCUAAUUGUAAUGUCAUCUGCUCCAGUCAGGUCUUUUGCACACAGGGCUCACUGUCAGGGUCCCCUACAGCUUUAGUAGCCCAACUUUCUUCAGCCCUUUUGGUUGGCAACAGUUUCUCCAUAUCUGUCUGAAGGAUGGAGACCUGUUGGAGAAUAUUCAGUGAGGUAUCUGUCGGGCAUUUCUUCAUGACUUGGCUCAGGUAUCCUGGGUGAAAACAACACAAAAAUAAAAGUCAGACUCAUCCCUUUCCACCUUACUGGGUCACUCAGUGUCCACUGUCCAAUCCCCAGAGCUAGUGACUUAA